CCCUCUUAAUAAUUCUUUGACAACCCACAUAGCCAAAUUAAAAAAACCAUCCUUAAAAUUAAAAAAAAAAAACUUUUUAUUCUAUUUGUCGGCUGUUCCUAGCGUAAAUGGCUAAGAGUUUGAUGAUUGGUAUUCAAGAUUUUAAGUUCGAAAUUUAAUUGCUUCACAUUAAUUUCCAGAUAAGUUUAUCUUAAAAAAAAAAAAUGAACGCAGCGGAUAAUAUGCUACUUUUUUUUCUCUCAAAAAAAAGAUAUUUCACUUUAUUUUACUUUUCAAGAGUCUUUAAGCGUGGUUGCUUGCACGAAAAAGCAGCCAUCGAUAUAUAUCUCAAAUUAUUUUCAUUAUUUUAUAUAAAUUAAAUCAAGCG
rnacentral:lncRNA from 1 species